UACGUAGGGUGCGAGCGUUAAUCGGAAUUACUGGGCGUAAAGGGUGCGUAGGCGGCUUUGCAAGUCAGAUGUGAAAUCCCCGGGCUCAACCUGGGAAUUGCAUCUGUGACUGCAUCGCUAGAGUACGGUAGAGGGGGAUGGAAUUCCGCGUGUAGCAGUGAAAUGCGUAGAUAUGCGGAGGAACACCGAUGGCGAAGGCAAUCCCCUGGACCUGUACUGACGCUCAUGAACGAAAGCGUGGGGAGCAAACAGG
rnacentral:rRNA from 1 species